AGCUCUGAGGUGUACUACAUAUCAGAUUGCAAAUCUGAAGAAGCAGGUGAAUACCUGCCGGAGCUU
rnacentral:tRNA from 1 species